GUUGGCUGGAGCCCUGCGCCGAUGCCGGUGACGAGCCAGGACUCGAGAUCCUUAGACCGGCUGCGCUCGGAGAAGGCCUACUGAGAAGCUGAAGGACGCGGGUUCGAUUCCCGCCACCUCCACAA
rnacentral:tmRNA from 1 species